rnacentral:rRNA from 1 species
UACGAAGGGGGCUAGCGUUGCUCGGAAUUACUGGGCGUAAAGGGCGCGUAGGCGGAUAUCUAAGUUGGGGGUGAAAUCCCGGGGCUCAACCUCGGAAUUGCCUUCAAAACUGGAUAUCUUGAGUUCGGGAGAGGUGAGUGGAACUCCGAGUGUAGAGGUGAAAUUCGUAGAUAUUCGGAAGAACACCAGUGGCGAAGGCGACUCACUGGACCGGUAUUGACGCUGAGGUGCGAAAGCGUGGGGAGCAAACAGG